UUCCAAAUUGAAUACUUUGAAAAAGACUAUUUUAUCAUUGUAUCAGCAAAUUCCCCAUCCUAAUUCAAACAAUUAAUCCCAGACCACAAAUCAACCAAGAAACCAAUCAACCUUUCCCUGAUACCACUUGUUGGGUCUUCUAAAUAUUCUAAUCUUACUUAUGUAAAUUAAGAUAAUCACCAAAAUUAAUCCACAAAUUCUAAUUUAUAAUUCUAAAC
rnacentral:lncRNA from 1 species